ACUCAAAUGAAUUGACGGGGGGCCGCACAAGCGGUGGAGCGUGUGGUUUAAUUCGACGCUAAGCGAAGAACCUUACCAGGGUUUGACAUCCCAGUCGUAUUCCGUGGAAACACGGAAGUCAGUCCGGCUGGACUGGUGACAGGUGUUGCAUGGUCGUCGUCAGCUCGUGUCGUGAGAUGUUGGGUUAAGUCCCGCAACGAGCGCAACCCUCGUCGCGUGUUGUAUUUUUCACGCGAGACUGCCUCGGUUAACGAGGAGGAAGGCGGGGAUGACGUCAGAUCAGCAUGACCCUUAUACCCUGGGCGACACACGCGCUACAAUGGCCGGUCCAAUGGGACGCGAAGCCGCAAGGUGGAGCCAAUCCCAUCAACGCCGGUCUCAGUUCGGAUUGGAGGCUGCAACUCGCCUCCAUGAAGUCGGAAUCGCUAGUAAUCGCAGGUCAGCCAUACUGCGGUGAAUACGUUCUCGGCCCUUGUACACACCGCCCGU
rnacentral:rRNA from 1 species